rnacentral:rRNA from 1 species
GAUCAUGGCUCAGAAUGAACGCUGGCGGCGUGCCUAACACAUGCAAGUCGAGCGAGAAAGUCUCUUCGGAGAUAAGUACAGCGGCGGACGGGUGAGUAACGCGUGAGUAAUUUACCCUUUAGUGAAGAAUACCUCUGAGAAAUCAGGGUUAAUACUGCAUACGUCCCUACGGGGAGAAAGGUGGCCUCUUUGCUGCCGCUAAAGGAUAAGCUUGCGUACUAUUAGCUAGUUGGUGAGGUAAAGGCUCACCAAGGCGAUGAUGGUUAGCCGGCCUGAGAGGGUGUACGGCCACACUGGAACUUAGACACGGUCCAGACUCCUACGGGAGGCAGCAGUGAGGAAUAUUGCGCAAUGGGCGAAAGCCUGACGCAGCGACGCCGCGUGGAGGAUGAAGGUCUUCGGAUUGUAAACUCCUGUUAAGUGGGAAGAAAGACCUAUUUCUAAUACAGAUAGGGGAUGACGGUACCAUUAGAGAAAGCACCGGCUAACUUCGUG